rnacentral:rRNA from 1 species
AUGGAUUCGUGUAGUGACAUCUCGAUCCCGAAGCCAAGUAUGUUUUCUUUUCCUCUGAGAUCUCACCCCGAAGCAACAGCAAGUCUUACAUUAUGGAGCACGCGGCCGCUACCCUUUCUAGCAUUAGUUUGCAUUCACGUACCAUCUACAUUGGUACUUAUUGCUUGUGAGGAUUCUUCCACUAGACAUUCUCACAAGCGGUGGCAAGGAUUUAUAAAUUAUGCAUUCCGAUUAAUUGGAAUAUAUCCCACAUAUAAUCCAUGUUUCUUAGUUUAUUGGCCAAAUGUGCUUGCUCAAUGGUCCGUUCGAGAUAGUUUCAGGUUUGGUACAUUUUAUCACUUUUUGUGCGCUGUGGGCUUGCUACAAAUUUAUUGGAAAAGGGAAUACUUUCUCUUGUAUUUACAGCACCAGUCGUCGGAGUUGCAAUUGCAGCUUUGCACUAAAUUAGUAUUAUCCCUGAGUGAAGAUAACGUUUCCAGUAAGAGAAUUGACAAUACUGACAAUGACGUGAUAUUUCAUAGCGUUGUCAAUGUCAGAUGUGACUCAAAAGGGGGUUCUGAAGCUGAUGAACUUGGAUGGCCUGACAGUCUACCAUACCAACAACCAUCUCCAAGUACACAAACUUGA